UACGUAGGGGGCAAGCGUUGUCCGGAAUCAUUGGGCGUAAAGAGCGUGUAGGCGGCCAGAUAAGUCCGCUGUGAAAUCUCGAGGCUCAACUUCGAGCUGUCGGUGGAAACUGUCUGGCUAGAGUCCGGAAGAGGAGAAUGGAAUUCCUGGUGUAGCGGUGAAAUGCGCAGAUAUCAGGAGGAACACCGAUGGCGAAGGCAGGUCUCUGGGCAACAACUGACGCUGAGGAGCGAAAGCGUGGGGAGCGAACAGG
rnacentral:rRNA from 1 species